UUCCUUCUGAGGACGCUGUGCCCCCUGGAACUUUGACACCCAGGGAGUCUGAGGGGGUCCCAGAAGACUCUGGGAA